CCUACGGGGGGCAGCAGUAGGGAAUAGUGCUCAAUGGGGGAAACCCUGAAGCAGCAACGCCGCGUGGAGGAUGAAGGUUUUCGGAUGGUAAACUCCUUUUGGUAGAGAAGAGAAGGACGGUAGCUAACGAAUAAGCACCGGCUAACGCCGUGCCAGCAGCCGCGGUAAGACGGAGGGGGCAAGCGUUCCUCGGAAUCACGGGGCGUAAAGAGCGCGUAGGCGGGAUAGCAAGUCAGAUGGGAAAUCCUAUGGCUUAACCAUAGAACUGCAUUUGAAACUGUUAUUCUAGAGUAUGGGAGAGGUAGGUGGAAUUCUUGGUGUAGCGGUCACAUCCGU
rnacentral:rRNA from 1 species